rnacentral:rRNA from 1 species
UACAGAGGGUGCAAGCGUUGCUCGGAAUUAUUGGGCGUAAAGGGCAGGUAGGUGGUCUCAUUUGUCUGGGGUGAAAGCCUUGAGCUUAACUCAAGAAGUGCCCCAGAAACGGUGAGACUAGAGUCUUGGAGAGGGUCGUGGAAUUCCCGGUGUAGCGGUGAAAUGCGUAGAGAUCGGGAGGAACACCAGAGGCGAAGGCGGCGACCUGGACAAGUACUGACACUCAACUGCGAAAGCGUGGGGAGCAAACAGG